UGGAUUUUGUGAAACUUUUGC
rnacentral:piRNA from 1 species